UUUCCGCGAUAUAAAAAUAACGUAUGGGCGGUUUCUACGCGGAAAAAUAAAUGGCGAAAAAUUAACCUAGGUACACCUAUACGUAAUGUUUACCUUCGCGUAAUCAAAUAGUGACAUUUCCGUUAAAACGCAGGCACAUACUGGUGUAAAUAAUAUUCUAUCGGAUUUUCAACGUACAAUAUCUUACGCGUCAUGUUAUUUCGUUUCGUUGUUGACUUCAAUAUAAUAUAUAUGUUCAUACAAUAAUACGCGUUCACCGGUUCACCCAUUACUUUCAAGGUUAAUGCCCG